UACGUAGGGGGCAAGCGUUGUCCGGAUUUAUUGGGCGUAAAGAGCGUGUAGGCGGCCAGGUAGGUCGGUUGUGAAAACUGGAGGCUCAACCUCCAGACGUCGACCGAAACCAUCUGGCUAGAGUCCGGAAGAGGAGAGUGGAAUUCCUGGUGUAGCGGUGAAAUGCGCAGAUAUCAGGAAGAACACCCGUGGCGAAAGCGGCUCUCUGGGACGGUACUGACGCUGAGACGCGAAAGCGUGGGGAGCGAACAGG
rnacentral:rRNA from 1 species